UUGUUCUUGUUCUUGUUCUUGUUGUGGCACAAAUUGAUUUUAACCUAUUGUGUUUGCCUAUUUGGAUGUUGUGAUUCUUUUAAGUUUUUUAUUUUAGUUUUUUUUAAAGAAAUACGUAUCUAGGACAAAAAAUGCGUAUCCAAUUUCUAAAAAUUGCAAAAAUGGCUUAGAGAUAUUUCCUAGCUAUGUCCUCACAUUCCGAGGAGG
rnacentral:misc_RNA from 1 species